UACGUAGGGUGCAAGCGUUGUCCGGAAUUAUUGGGCGUAAAGAGCUCGUAGGCGGUCUGUCGCGUCUGCUGUGAAAACCUGGGGCUUAACCCCGGGCCUGCAGUGGGUACGGGCAGACUAGAGUGUGGUAGGGGAGACUGGAAUUCCUGGUGUAGCGGUGAAAUGCGCAGAUAUCAGGAGGAACACCGGUGGCGAAGGCGGGUCUCUGGGCCAUAACUGACGCUGAGGCGCGAAAGCUAGGGGAGCAAACAGG
rnacentral:rRNA from 1 species